ensembl:snRNA U6 U6 spliceosomal RNA
GUGCUCACUUUGGCAGCACGUAUACUAAAAUGGGAAUGACACAGAGAAGAUUAGCAUGGCCCCUGUGCAAGGAUGACACCAAAUUCGUGAAGCAUUCCAUUAAAAG